UACAGAGGGUGCAAGCGUUAAUCGGAAUUACUGGGCGUAAAGCGUGCGUAGACGGUUAUGUAAGUUAGGUGUGAAAGCCCCGGGCUCAACCUGGGAAUUGCAUUCGAGACUGAAUAGCUAGGGUACGGUAGAGGGAAGUGGAAUUUCCGGUGUAGCGGUGAAAUGCGUAGAUAUCGGAAGGAACAUCAGUGGCGAAAGCGACUUCCUGGACCAGUACCGACGUUCAGGCACGAAAGCGUGGGGAGCAAACAGG
rnacentral:rRNA from 1 species